UUGAAAACAAGAUCCAAUUAGGCAUCCUAAAUGUUUUUCAAGUGAUUCCUGGCCUGGAUCUGUUACAUAAAACAGGGCCCCAGUGAUUCAAACCUGCUGUCAAUACAGAGGUGGGGAAAGAAAAAUGCUAGCUAUUCUGCAGCUGUCCAGCCAGCAUCCUGGAGGAGCUGCUCUCUCGACAACCCCACGCACAGAAAGAAGCCUGCUUCCCAGAGUGGGAGCUAAACCAAAUAAACCCGGCGGGGAUCUGCUUAGGAGGAGACUCUUCAAACGGCAGCCAGGAAUGCACGCGCUCCCUUGGACAACUCAGAUUACACGGCCUGCCCUCGCCUUGAGUAAAACUGCGCCGAAGAAACACUGGUCCAAAGCGCACCUCACUUUCGACAGUUUGCUGAUCUUUACCUAGCGGGAGAGAACUGAGGAACUAACAGAUCCCAGGGUACAAUGCGAGCACCCAUGGAGCUCCCGAGUGACGCCCUCCCACCCACCCACCCCCUGUCAGAAUCACUUCAGUGACAGUGGAAGCUCUGUUCAGGACACCUGCCUUGAUGAGACUCCUGGGGACUUCCUGGGAUCUAGCCAGCCCAGGGUUUUGUCACCACACUGGAGCAGGGAGCACCAUCCCUUCUGGUGGGAGGCAGCCAGUGUUUCUACCCCUGCUGAACUACAGGCAUCUCAUCCCUGAGCGGUCUGUGAGGGCCACCAUAUCCUCCGCUGUCCACGACAGGGUCGGAAAUCAUCAAGAGGUCUCGGCAAUGCGCCAAGGUGAACCACGAGGGAGCCACAGAAUCCCCCUUCAACACCUGUCCUCCCGGUUCUUCCAAAAGGACAGGCAAGCUCUCAGCCUCACAGAACCCAAGAGUCCAGAGCCAGCAGCUAUGGUUCAGUCAGCCAUUGUGCCUUGUUCACACAUCUCCAAAGGACUUCUAUUUCCUCCCAUCUGGCCUGAGAGCUUUGAUAUAUUCUCUCAACUUCUUCCUAGUUAAUUCUCCUUUUAGUUCUGACCUCACUUCUUCCAGGGUGAUGUUUGGACUCCUUUAGAGUUAGACAGGAUGCUCCAUACAGAACUCAAUAAUGAUAUUCCUCAUAGAGUUCUCUGGUCUCUAACCAGACCUCAUGUUCACUGGAGCAGAGCUACUAGGCUCAGCGCAGUAUGCUGUCUCCAUGCUGCAAGCACAGGAUCGGAAUACCCUGUCAUCUAUACUUCAUGGGCAUUGCUAGACACAUAAUAAGCACAGCACUGGGCACACACUGGCAAGUUGGGAACCUUACAACCAAGAGAGGGUGGCAAUUGUCUUCAGCUUACAAAUCUUUCCUGAUCCCUUACCUUGCCUUUAAGGAAAUCAAGAUUAUACAUACAUACAUACAUACAUACAUACAUACAUACAUACAUGUUGACAAAAUGAAGUUAUAGAAUCCAGAGACCAGGAUUGCAUGUUACUUCAGGAUAAAAGAGCAUGUGAUGGUAGAACAAAUGGCGAUCUUACAAUGAACUCGGAUGAUCUUGGGCUGGGAUGUAGCAUGUACAAGGAGCUAAAAUCAAUUCCUACUAACACACACACACACACACACACACACACACACACACACACACACACACAACAAAGUGCCCCCUCAGACCCCUAAACAAAGGAAUUCUGCCCCCUAGAGUUGGUAUUUGUUUUCUAAAAUCACAUUGAUUAGAAAACAAGUAGACACGGGGAUGGCACCCCGUAACCCUGACCUUUGGGAGAUGCAGGAAGAUCUAUAGUUGUAAGCUCCCAGGCUGCACGAAUGUGGCUCCCCCACCCCAACCCCAGUUCCCACCCUCACUUUCCUUUCCUUGAAUGUCUGGCCGGACUGUUAGGGCCACCACCCAACAUUUGUAGUUUUCUUAUCAGUUGCCGCUCCAUCAACUUGGAUAGUCUCUGACAUUAUCUUUCUUCAACUAACACAUCUUGUUCAAACUGGCUCAAUAGGGGGAUGGAAAGAUAUCUCAUGGGUUAACAGUUCUACCUAAGGAUUUAGGUUUGAUUCUCAGCAUUCAUAUGGUGGCUCACAACUGUAUGUAACUCCAGACCCAGGGUAUCCAAUGUCUUCUUCUGGCCUUUACAGGCACUAAGCAUGCAGGCUAAAUACCCAUGUACAUUUUAUAUUAAAAACUGGCUUGCAAGCACAGAAAGCCUUGUUCAGAUCUCAACUCCAGGCCUUGCCAGUCAUAUGAUUAGGUAGAUGGUUCAACCACUCUGACCUUGAGCUUGUCUUUAAAGCAGAGGAUAUAACUGGUACUUGCUGGUAUGGACAGGAUGGAUACAGUGAGGCCAAAAGCAUCCCUCCCAGGCACCUAAGACUGACUCAGUAAUGAGGACAGCCUCUGUUACUGUCAUAGCUGCCCUGUGUCCAGUCCACAACCUUGAAAGCAGGACCUCAAGCUAUUUAUGAGACAUGUACUGUUGUUUCAUGGCUAGGCAGUGGGGAGGCAGGAAGAAAGAAGAGAAGGAGGAAGAGAACAGAGACACGAAGUGUCUUAGGGUUUUAUUGCUGUAAAGAGACACCAUAACCAAAGCAAUUCUUAUAAUGGAAGACAUUUAAUUGGGGCUGGCCUAUAGAUUCAGAGGUUCAGUCCAUUAUCAUAUGGUGGGAAGCAUGGCAGCAUGCUGGAGAAGGAGCUGAGAGUUCUACAUCUGGAUCCACAGGCAGUCAAGAGGAGACUAUCUUCUGCAGACAGCCAGGAGGAGGCUCUGAUUGCACACUAGGCAAAGCUUAGGCAUGAGAAACCUCAAAGCCUACCCUGACAGUGACACAUUUCCUCCUAAUGGUGCCAUACCUCCUAAUGGUGCCACUCCCCAUGAAACACAUGAGUCCAUGGGGGCCAUUCCUAUUUGAACCACCACAGGGAAAAGGAAAAAAAUGGAGGGGGAGGGGAAGAUGAGCAAGAAGGAAAGGAAGAGAAUGAGCAGAGAGGGAAGAGGAAGGAGAGAGGGAAGGGAGAGCAAUGUAGAGGAGAAAAGGAGAAGGAAGAAGAGGAGGAGCCGGAGGAAGGGGAGAGGACAGGAGAGCAAGCAGGGGGCAGGAGGACAAGGAGGGAGGAAGAGCAGGGCAGGAGGAAGAGUUGUGGGAGGAGGAUUGCUUCCUUGAAGUCCCCACUUUGCAUUCUUUCAUCUUCAAAAAGAAGUGAGAGAAGAAAAA